GAGAAUUUUUGAUUUAUCUGAUUACAUAUGCAGAAACAAUUGAAGCACUAAGUUAACAAGUUGGGAAUUGGAUCUUACAAUUGCUCGUUCCACGUUUGAGUUCUUUACAUAUGAGAUGAAAAAACUGCACCAAGGAUCGAUGUGACUUCUAUUUCUCUUUGCCCCUGGUUUCCAUGCUUCCACUUCCACUUCCACUUGCCUUGGAAUUUGUGACCCUCAACUCGCUCUGUACUCAAAAAGUCUAAUUUCACAACAGAGGCCAAGAAGGGAGCUCUAAAGUGAAGCUUUUUUUUUCUUCUUAAAGGAAAUCCUGGGAAAGAGGUAGAUCUGGAAGUGUUGAUCCCUCAAGCAUCAUUUGGGAAGCAACAGGGGCUUUGAAUAUAUUAAAACAGAGCUUUGAAUACUAACAUAGAGUCUACAUAGCCCUUUCAACAUCCCACUGCGCUUGUACAUUUGCGAAUUACCUGUAUGUGGGGAAGUUAUCAGCAAUGAGGAUGAAGCUAGAGGGCGCACAAUGCUUUGGACCUACAAGACUUCGUCUUCUUCGUCUAUACAUAGAAAAUGUUGCAAACUUGGUGUCUCUCCCAAGGGAGCUUAGACAUGCUACCACUUUGCAAUGGCUUGACAUUAAGGACUGCCCUACACUCAAGUCCUUACCAGAGUGGAUAGGUGACCUCACUUUGCUACAGAUGCUUCAGAUCCUCAAUUGUCCAAAUUUAAUAUCAGUGCCCGAAGGGAUGCAUCGCCUCAUCUCUCUACGUAAUUUGAAAAUUGUGAGAUGUCCUCGCUUAGAGGAAAGAUGUGAAGAAGGAAUAGGUGAGGAUUGGCCAAAAAUCGCUCACAUCCCAAACUUUCCGAUUCGGCAGUUGUACUACUAAAACGAAUCGGUUUCAAUCUCUACCUAAUGCACCAAUUAUUCUUCAGAAUCAAUAGACGCUACUUCAGACCUUGCUGACAGUAAACUUUGGACAAAGCUCCCACAUCUUCGAUCGAACCAAUUGAAGCACUAUUUAAGAUUUGGAGCCAAUUCUAAACUUGUUCACUCUGCAACAAUGCAAUAAGUUGAGAAGCUGGGAAUUAGGUAUAUCAAUGUUAUGGUUGGAAACCAAAUUUGGCAACUAUGGACCUAUGGUACUCUUGGACUAGCAUCUAAAGCACUGGGCUUGUAAUGAUUUCUCAAAGAUCAUAAGGAUUUGAAAGUUGAAGUGGUAGGAUGCUUGUCAGUGGGAGGAUCUUAAGGUUCUUGUGAAGAGGGUGCUUAUACAUGUUAUUUGCUGAAAUAGGACUCAUGCUUUUAUAUCAUUCUCUAUUCAUCUUUCUUUCAAGUUUUGGACUUUGGUUUCCAUUCCUCUCUGCCCCAUGCCCCCAUGGUUCUACUUCCUCUUGGAACUUGGCUCGAGAUUGUGCCUUUUCUACUCAACUUGCUCCCUGGUUGAAAAUGUCUCAAUUUGGCAACAGAGGCCCAGAGAGCUCUAAAGGGAAGCUAUUUUUUCCCCCUACAGGAAACCUUGGGGAAGAGCCAGAGGUUCAAGGAGUGCCCCCCCUCAAGAGUCGAUUGGGCAAUGAAGCAUUCCAUCAUGUCCCAUUCUAAUGGGUGUUCCAAUUGGCAUUCCAAGGAAGACUUCCAGAGUGGUUCAUUCGAAGUGGUGUUCCAAGCAGCGUUCAAACGCUUUGUUCUAUUCAUCGAUCCAAUAUCUAUUCGAACGGAAGAAAACCCGAGGACCUCAUUCCAAAGACCAUUCAGACAAGCCACUCAAAGAAAACCUUGUUCUUAAGGUUUAACCUAUUACUGUUCGAACGGACCAUUUACCUGUUCAAACAGAAUCCCGAUCCAUAAUAUUCUGGAUUCAGAUCUCUUUCUUGCUGCUCAAGUUUCUCAAGUCUAUUUAAAGAGAUCUCUUGUAAGUUAUUUGUAACAACUUUAGGUUAUAGAACCUUGCUCUAGGAGUGGUUAGAAAUUGUGUUUAUAGUAUUUUCUGUCUCCUAGAUUAAAGUUGUGCAUCACACAAGUCCAUAUAUCUCGUAAAGCCUGAAGCCUAUCGGAGUUCCGAUACAUAUAAGAUCAAGUAGAAGAAAUUUCCAAAUGCUUUGAGGAGCUACUAUGGUACUUAGAUUAGUGGGUUGCUUAUCCAAAGCAAGAGAGUAUCAACUACAAAUGUUUUGUAAAAGUGAACUUCUUGUAACUCUAUUUCUUUUAUAGUGGAUUGAUUUUCUG